rnacentral:lncRNA from 1 species
UUUCAGCAGCUUUUCAUCACACUGUCCUGCCACCCUCUGCUUUCUGUGAAAGGAGCUGCUGUGAGGAAGCCGAUCCUCCAGUAGCCAGUGCGGCAUGGAAAAGGGGCUCACAUGACUACAGAAAAACAGAGAGAGCAUUGGCUCUAGAGGGUGCAAGGAGAGGCUCAGUUUGAGGUAAGCAGCAGCCAUUUAUGCAGGCUUCCGAUUCCUCAGCUGGGUUGUUUAUUCCCCCACCUUGACACUUGCCAGUGAGUUGGUGGCUGGACAGCGUGAGUGGACAAUGGAGGUGGGCAGGACUGGUCCUUGCCAUAUAUGUAUAUACAGCCACUCUCUGUCACUAUUUAGCACAGAGCCAGUUGCUGCUGCCUUAAUUUGCUGGUAUUGCUUUGUGCUGGCAGGCAGGCAGCUGGCUGGAGAGUCUGCUCGUUUCUGUGGACGUGGAGGCUGCUCAGCACUUUGCUCGAAGUGCUCAGGCCGUUGCAGGAGUAGCACGAAGCCAGACCUACCUUUGAUUAAGGGAAUUAAAGGUCAGAGAAAAGCCUUCACUGACUUCCGCAUGCUUUUGGUCAGACUCAAAGUUUGGGAGAGCAAGAAGGACAGCGGCAGAAGUGGGACCUCUGGGAUGAUACAGCUGGUCGUACUCCCAGGACGGGAGAAUAAAGCUGAUGGUGAAAGGGAACCCAGCCCCAGCGUGGUGUCUGCUGGACCCAUGGAAGCUGGCUAAGGUGUUAAUGGACAGUGCUUGAUACAGCUGAAGAAAUGGAGAGCUCUGACGUCCUCCCAGACAACUGGGAGGUGACUGAAGUUAAAAAGAAAGGCUCCAUCUUUUGUGGAUGGGAGCCAGAGUCCAGGGGCUUGUUUUGAUACCCACUUUCUGGAGUCUCCUAUUUCCACAACAUCCUCUGAAGGAUCUAAUCAGACCAACAAUGACUUCUGGCUGGUGCAAGAAGAGAUCAAGUCUGUAUUUGCCCAAGUAGAUAUGAAAAGCUCUCAGAUCAAGGAUCCAGAUUUGCCCCUUCCCUGCCCUGCUUUGAGAGACAGCUGGGGAAUAAUGUCAUAUCUGUACUUGUAUCUCAGUCCCUGAUAUCAAUCCAGCAGUGCUGACUGUAUUACAUAAAAUUCCUCCUCCCCACUCUCUUUGGCAUCAGCUGCCAUGCUGACAUCUCACAAAUCCUUCCUGAUUCCCUGCAAUAGCAUUUGUUCUCUCAAUCUCUUUCUCUCUAGGCAAGUACAAAGAUUCCCAAAAAGUGACCGAAUGAGCUACUGUCCUCUUGUUGUAACCAGCUGGUGUUGAUGUCAUGCAGCCUACCAGGCUCCCUGCUUCGCAGAACACCAUCAGCCCCUCUGGCCCCCAGUCCAGGCUAUUUCAAAACCAAGCAAAAUAAGGGGAAAUCCAGCUGUGCCUCUGCUUUCCGCUUUUGCACACCAAGGUGCUGGGCCCUGGAGCACCGUUUGGUGGUGAGAUGCCCGGGUACACAGAAAGAAAAGCAUCUCCCGCCUUGUCUAGUCCUCCUUCCCCUGCUGCCUCCCACUCCAGCCUCUCCGACCCCUCCACGUCAGGACCAACACAAGUCUCCAUAUCUUACCCGCCGACCCCUCCACGUCAGGACCAACACAUAGUUUGCUGAAACUCCAUAUCUUACCCACUUUCACAUGACAACACUUGCUCCUCCACAGGCAGCAAAAGCAGAGGGGGAAAGAGGCCCUUCUGUAGCCCAAUCGCU